UGUGCACUUUUCUCUUAGUAAGACGUCGUGAUCCAUUAGAAAUUGAUAUACGCCAAGUAUAUAGUGGGUCAUCAAUAGGCCAAUGUGAAGUUUAUUGGAACAAAUGGCAUGGCCUUUUACGGUUGUGUGUAUUGUCUGGUAAGCGCAUUGUGUUUUCCUGUAAUGACUGUCUGAUGGAUUUUAAGGACCGUUAUCAAUGAUGUUAAGGCAUCAGCGCAAUGCGCAAUUCGAUACGCGUGUCCGAUCAACGGCGGUUAAAUUUGGGAUACCUUUUGGACCCGUCUUGAAACACGGACCAAGGAGUCUAUCUAGUAUGCGAGUAAAUGGAUAAUUUAUGAAAUCUAUUUGCGUAAUAAACUUGACUGUUAUGGGAUUACGAUUAAUGGCAAUUUUUUGUCAUUUUUCUUCCAUCCCGGGGUAUUUUCAUCCACAUAUAAGCAAUUGUAUGGAAAAUAUACCAUGAGCACACUGGAUACGACCCGAAAGAUGGUGAACUAUGCCUGAUCAGGUCGAAGUCAGGGGAAACCCUGAUGGAGGACCGAAGCAGUUCUGACGUGCAAAUCG
rnacentral:rRNA from 1 species